rnacentral:lncRNA from 1 species
GAUGAAGGAAGGCAGGGUUAGGUGAGUAUCACAGGAAGUUUUUCCCGGUGAGGGUGGCCAGGCCCCUGUGGCUGCCCCUGGAUCCCUGGCAGUGUCCCAGGCUGCUCCAAGCCCCAGUGUCCAGCCUGGCCUGGGACACUGGGAGGUGUCCCUGCCCACGGCAGGGGGUGGAAUGGGAUGAGCUUUAAUGUCCCGACCACCGUUUAGUGAUUCUGAUGGUCUUCCUGAGAUCAGUCAGCCUGAGGAGCUGUGGCAAACUCAGACUGAAAGAUGAAAGCUCAUAAUUUACACUGUGUAAAGCAAGAAUAAAUGCUUUAAAAAAUUCUAAUGCAUUAUUUUUUUUUUUUUUAAGAAAAUGGAUGGGGAGAGGUGCUUCCUUUUAUUUUCUUCUGAAUAAAUGUUAUUUCUUUCUUACAGCAUGCUAGAAACCUUAUUCUGCUCUGACUGCUCAAGGACACUUGGCAGCAUCUACAGGUGCACCUCAAGGAACCUCGACUACGAGAGAGAUUUGUUCUGUUUGAGUAUUGGCUCCAUGGACAGACUGUACCUGCUGUAAGGCUGAGGUGAGACCAGGAUCUGUAAAAUCCCUGACUCUCCGUGUCUUCCUGAGGCUGAAGCCAUGUUUGCUGUCAAUGACGACAUGGUGGAAGAUGCUGAACACUGAAAACUUUGGGUUUUUCCCUGAACCCCAAGACUCUCUCUGCAGCUGUGCCCUGUCUCUCUCUUAAAAGAGUUUCUGGGUUUACAAAAGUUUUUAUAUUUUGCAAUAUUUAUCUAUAACUCAAUUAAAAAGAAUCAUACUGUAUCAAUGUGGUGUCAAUUACUUUGUUUGAGUUGGUUAAUUAAAGCAAAUUAUUGAUAAGGGGUUUGAGCAUCCCUUAGUUGGAGCUGGCAGCUCUUAUUUAAUUUCUCUUCAUUCCUUUAAUUUCUUUCAAUUAUUUCUUAGGCAAGUACUGCAAUUAGGAUAUACAGUAAGGACAAGAGCAUUUCUGCCCUGCUGGAUUGGGAAAUCCAAGCCCAAUUCCUUGGAGAGAUUGAGGGGCUGGGGAUCUGUGUCUCAAGCUGGGUUUUGACAGUGGAAUUUGGUGAGGAAGGAAGAGGAGAGAUCCCACAGAAAGUGGCUCAGGCCAGUUCUGCUGGCUUUGGGUGCUCCUAC